GAACGAACGCUGGCGGCGUGCCUAACACAUGCAAGUCGAGCGCGAAUGGCCGCAAGGCCUAGUAGAGCGGCGCACGGGUGCGUAACACGUGGGUAAUCUACCUGGGAGUCCGGGACAACCUGCCGAAAGGCUGGCUAAUACCGGAUAAGCCCACGGGCUCUUCGGAGCCUGAGGGAAAAGGUGGCCUCUGUAUACAAGCUACCACUCCUAGAUGAGCCCGCGGCCCAUCAGCUAGUUGGCGGGGUAAUGGCCCACCAAGGCAACGACGGGUAGCUGGUCUGAGAGGACGAUCAGCCACACUGGAACUGAGACACGGUCCAGACUCCUACGGGAGGCAGCAGUGGGGAAUUUUGCGCAAUGGGCGAAAGCCUGACGCAGCAACGCCGCGUGUGUGAUGAAGGUCUUCGGAUUGUAAAGCACUUUCGACCGGGACGAAACCUUCAUGGCCAAUAUCCAUGAAGCUGACGGUACCGGGAGAAGAAGCACCGGCUAACUCUGUGCCAGCAGCCGCGGUAA
rnacentral:rRNA from 1 species